UACGGAGGGUGCAAACGUUGCUCGGAAUCAUUGGGCGUAAAGCGCGCGUAGGCGGCUUGACAAGUUGGAUGUGAAAGCCCUGGGCUCAACCCAGGAUGUGCAUUCAAAACUGUCUGGCUUGAAUCUCGGAGGGGGUCAGGGAAUUCCCGGUGUAGAGGUGAAAUUCGUAGAGAUCGGGAGGAACACCAACGGCGAAAGCACUCUGCUGGGCCGACACUGACACUGAGAGACGAAAGCUAGGGGAGCAAAUGGG
rnacentral:rRNA from 1 species